rnacentral:lncRNA from 1 species
AUGGGCAACUCAGGGGCCAUGGAGUGUGUGCUGGCUCAGAUCUUUGGUGACCAUCGCCUCCACUGGCACGUAAAUAGCUUUCCCCCGAGUUUAUUGGUGGGUGGGUGCUGUUUACAUCUUGCAGAUGAGGGCGCUGGGCUCCGGGAGGAACGUGACUGGCUGAAGGGACUGACGGGGACUCCGCAGAGAAUCAGGAGUGGGCUGGAAUCCACCCAGCUGUGCUUCUCCCCGGAUCCCCCCACCCUGCCUGAGCCUGGGCUGGGGUCUGAGCCACUAAACUCUCCAAAGGAAGCCCCCAGCAACGAGCCCAACAAAAGCAGCCCGCCUACAGGUCUGGGAACCCCCAGGAGGAUGUCUCCUGACUUCCCUACCAGCAGGCUCCAGUUUACUAAGGAGAGAGCGGGAGGGAAGCCGGAUGGAGACGGAGAGCUGGUCCCCUGCCUCCGAGCGCAGCUGCUCUGCGUCCCCGAACGCAUGAGAGUGGUUGUAUUCGGAUCCCUACUAACCAGGCAAAAGCAGGGUUAAGUGUGUGCGAAGGGAGAGGGAGUCCCUGCUGCCUGGAACUUGAAACUUGAAGCGGAGAGCCACCAGUCCGAGGAGAGGCAGAGGCAGCGCCCGCGGCUCCCACAGGCACCUGGGCCCGCGAAGUCAGGAGGACAUGCAAUAGCUGUCCCGCCACACGCCACACGGCAGGACACGCGGCAGACACCCACCGCUGCCUCCAGGGUAAGUGCUGGCUCCUGCAUCGCGCUGUCGGGGAGCGGCUCCGGGCGCUGGCCGCCGGGGACGUCGGAAACAGUCUUUCAUUAGGAGUCUGGAUGAGAUGCUGUUAGGGCAAUCUGUGUUUUAUUAUUCUUAUUAACGCAUCCAGACUUGCAACCUAGGCAUGGAAACAAAUGCAGUCUGGAAACUUCUUUAAGGCAAAACAAAGCGUUCUGUUUUCCCAUUGAAAAUUCAACACCCUGGACCAAAUGCAGGAGCUCGAGAAGCAGGCUCAGUGGGAACAGACACCCGUCUGCAGUCUUGCUGUGACACAGUCAGGGGCUUCCUCCUUCUAACGGUUUCUAUGAGAUGCCCUCAUUGUCUUUUCCUUUCUGUAACACGUCCCAGGUGACAGGCUUCUCACUCAGCACCUGAGUUCCGAGGUGCCAUGAACAAACCCGAUUCGCUAUACUUUUUGCUAAAUAUGCGUCUCAUUGCGACUCUUCCGACAGAGGAUGGAGGCAGGGCUGGGCGCCCCCGACCAGCCAGGAGCAAAACUAGGGAUCGACUGCUUGCAUCUGUACACAGUCUGUCUUAAGUACGCGCUACCUAUAACAAGCCGUUGUUACGGUGUUUGUGAGUACACUCUCUUCACAACAGCUUCCUUUGAGCGAGUUUCAAAGCCGGUCCCCUCCUGCUACUCUUUGAUAUGUCUGUUUCCCAUUAUAAAGUCGGGCGAUGAGCGAAAGUGACAGUCGCGGUUCCGCGUAUGA